AUAAAUACAUACACGGCACAAAGUGGAUGCCUUGACUCGAAUAUCCGAUGAAGGACGCGCAAGACUGCGAUAAGCCUGGGUAAGUUGUCACGAAACGUUACAGCCCAGGAUUUCCGAAUGGGGGAACCCUAUCCAUCAAGAUGGAUAACCUGAUUAGGAGGACACCAGCCGAAUUGAAAUAUCUUAGUAAGCUGGGAAAAGAAAUCAACCGAGAUUCCGAAAGUAGUGACGAGCGAAAUUGGAACAGCCCAAACCUGUACGGUGCCAAGGAUGAGCCCGUUGCCGUACGGGGGUUACACGACAUAUCACCGCAAAGCUCAUAUAGCGAUACUGAUAUAUAAUUACAGAAAAAUUACCUGGAAAGGUAGGCCAAAGAGGGUAAUAGCCCCGUAUUCGAAAUAAUCUGUAUAUUCGGUACGAUAUGCUCGUAAGUAGUAUCGGACACGUGAAAUCCGGUAUGAAGUUAGGUCGACCACGAUCUAAGGCUAAAGAGUAUUCGAGAUCGAUAGUGAACAAGUACUGUGAAGGAAAGGUAAAAAGAACCCCGGGAGGGGAGUGAAAUAGAUCCUGAAACUUUGUGCUUACAAAGAGUCGGAGCGCUUCGGCGUGACGGCGUGCCUUUUGGAGAAGGAACCAACGACUUACGUAUACGUGGCAAGGUUAAGACAGAUAUAGUCGGAGCCGAAGGGAAACCAAGUCUGAAUAGGGCGAUUUUAGUCACGUAUAGUAAACCCGAAACCCGUGUGAGCUAUUCAUGGCCAGGCUGAAGGUGGGGUAACACCUACUGGAGGGCCGAACCAAUUGGAGCUGCAAGUCCACUGGAUGAGCUGUGAAUAGGAGUGAAAAGCUAAUCGAACCGGGAGAUAGCUGGCUCUCCGCGAAAUAUAUUUAGGUAUAGCGUAUAAUAGUAACCAAGAGGGGUAGGGCUCUGAUAAGACUAGCGGGUUUAUUCCAACUUAGCAAAUCUUGAUAAACUUCGAAUACUCUUGGCGGAAUAUUAUACAGUCGGACAGUGACGGAUAAGCGCCAUUGUCAAAAGGGAAACAGCCCAGAUUCCUAUCUAAGGUCCCCAAGUUAUAACUCAGUGGAAAAGGAUGUGCGAUUACUAAGACAGCCAGGAUGUUGGCUUAGAAGCAGCCACUCAUUCAAAGAGUGCGUAAUAGCUCACUGGUCGAGUGAUUGUGCGCCGAAAAUUCAGCGGGGCUUAAGUUAUACACCGAAGAUGGAAGAUUUAUACAUUAGUAUGGAUCGGUAGCGGAGCGUUCUGUAAGCCUGUGAAGCAGUUGGGUAACCACCUGUGGAGGUAUCAGAAGUGCAAAUGUUGGUAUGAGUAACGUAAUGGAGGUGAAAACCCUCCACACCGAAUACCCAAGGUUUCCUGUCCUACGUCAGUCGUGGCAGGGUUAGUCGGUCCUAAGGUGCACCCGAAAGGGGCAAGCCGAUGGAUAUCUGGUUAAUAUUCCAGAACUAUAUACAAGAGGUUAUUACCUAUGUGGGGACGCAUCGCGAAUAUCGGACACUCUCAUGGAUAUGAGUGAAGAGUAAUGCUUUUGGUUGUGUAGGCAAAUCCGCACAACAAUACAAGAGGGUUAUGAUUCCUUACCCAAUACUUCUUCGGAAGGGAUAAGUAAGGUCCUGUGAUAUGAAGGUGCCAAGAAAAGCCACUCUGGGACGAAUGUAUAUAACCGUACCGUAAUCGAACACUCGUGGGUGGAUGUGAGUACAUUAAGGUGGACGGGAUAACUGAGCUUAAGGAACUCUGCAAAACAGCGGUCGUAACUUCGGGAUAAGACCUGCCUCCUCAGCAUUUAUCUGAGAGGCCGCAGCUAACGAGUCCAGGCGACUGUUUACCAAAAACACAGCUCCGUGCUAAAUCGCAAGAUGAUGUAUACGGGGUGAUGCCUGUCCGGUGCCAGAAGAUCACGGGGAGGGGUGCAAGCUCUGAACCUAAGUCCUGGUGAACGACGGCCGUAACUAUAACGGUCCUAAGGUAGCGAAAUUCCUUGUCGGGUAAGUUCCGACCCGCACGAA
rnacentral:rRNA from 1 species